rnacentral:rRNA from 1 species
ACUCCUACGGGAGGCAGCAGUGGGGAAUAUUGCACAAUGGGCGCAAGCCUGAUGCAGCCAUGCCGCGUGUGUGAAGAAGGCCUUCGGGUUGUAAAGCACUUUCAGUCAGGAGGAAAGGUUAGUAGUUAAUACCUGCUAGCUGUGACGUUACUGACAGAAGAAGCACCGGCUAACUAC